GGAAUCUUCCACAAUGGGCGAAAGCCUGAUGGAGCAACGCCGCGUGAGUGAAGAAGUAAUUCGUUAUGUAAAGCUCUAUCAGCAGGGAAGAAAGUGACUGUACCUGAAAAAGAAGCUCCGGCUAAAUACGUGCCAGCAGCCGCGGUAAUACGUAUGGAGCAAGCGUUAUCCGGAUUUACUGGGUGGAAAGGGAGAGUAGGUGGCAGAGCAAGUCCGAAGUGAAAACCCAAAGCUCAACUAUGGGAAUGCUUUAGAAACUGCUCAGCUAGAGUGCAGGAGAGGCAAGUGGAAUUCUUAGUGUAGCGGUGAAAUGCGUAGAUAUUAGGAGGAACACCAGUGGCGAAGGCGGCUUGCUGGACUGUAACUGACACUGAGGCUCGAAAGCGUGGGGAGCAAACAG
rnacentral:rRNA from 1 species